rnacentral:rRNA from 1 species
ACGCGAGGAACCUUACCCGGGCUUGAACUGCAGGAGAAGGAUACAGAGAUGUUGACGCCCUUCGGGGCUCCUGUGGAGGUGCUGCAUGGUUGUCGUCAGCUCGUGCCGUGAGGUGUCGGCUUAAGUGCCAUAACGAGCGCAACCCUUUUCUUCAGUUGCCAUCAGGUUAAGCUGGGCACUCUGGAGACACUGCCACCGUAAGGUGUGAGGAAGGUGGGGAUGACGUCAAAUCAGCACGGCCCUUACGUCCGGGGCUACACACGUGUUACAAUGGGUGGUACAGAGAGUCGGUCGUCUGCAAAUGCGAUCCAAUCCUUAAAGCCAUCCUCAGUUC